AUGGCAGAAGGGAAUCAUGAAAAUGGCUCAUCAGGAUUGCACAUAACCUUGCACUUUGCUCUCAUUAUUUCAGCAUCCGGUGGGGAUACUGUGAUGACUCAGACUCCACUCACUUUGCCCAUCACUCUUGGAGAGCCAGCCACCACCUCUUGCAAGUCGAGUCAGAGCCUCCUACGAGGUGAUGGAAAUGCCUAUUUAUACUUGUUCCAGCAGAAACUAGGCCAGGCUCCAUGGCCCCUGAUCUAUAUGGUUUCUAACUGUUUCUCUGAUGUACUAGGCAGGUUCAGUGGCACUGGGUCAGGGACAGAUUUCACUUUUGACAUCAGCAGGGUGAAGGCUGAGGAUGUUGCAGUUUAUUACUGCCAGCAAGCUACACAACUUCCUCCCACAGUGAUACAGCCCCGCACACAAAUCUGCUGCAUGGUGUGA